UACGAAGGUGGCAAGCGUUGUUCGGAUUUACUGGGCGUACAGGGAGCGUAGGCGGUUGGAUAAGCCCUCCGUGAAAUCUCCAGGCUUAACCUGGAAAGUGCAGAGGGGACUGUUCAGCUAGAGGAUGGGAGAGGAGCGCGGAAUUCCUGGUGUAGCGGUGAAAUGCGCAGAUAUCAGGAGGAACACCAGUGGCGAAGGCGACUACCUGGCCUGUUCUUGACGCUGAGGCGCGAAAGCUAGGGGAGCAAACGGG
rnacentral:rRNA from 1 species